GCAUGGUCCACAUGCCAUGUCUCCAAGGAUUGGCCACCUCGCCUGGCUUGGUGUCUUCUCCUCUUUGGUGACUUCCAGCCAGAUGCUCUCUGCAGACUCAAGUCCGUUUCUCUACUCUUGGACCAAGCUCUCAAGCUCCUCAGAGAACUCGUGGUGUCCUUCCCUCCCGACAGCCUGCCAGUCUAGCAAAUGGCAUGGACGGAGUACACAGGUGCAUGGGGGCGGAGCCCUGCUGCUCUGAGAGCCAGCCCACCCACUCCCAAACCCUGAGCAUGAGCUGUUUCCUUCCAACUGUGCGCUCAUUGUGCAGCGAUUCACAAUGAAGCAAAGGGUUGAACUUGUCCUCCAGGGCUGCUUUCUGUCUGCUCCUGCUUCCUGACCUGCUUGAGUUCCAG